AUUGAACGCUGGCGGCAGGCCUAACACAUGCAAGUCGAGCGGGGUUUUCGGACCUAGCGGCGGACGGGUGAGUAAUGCGUAGGAAGCUACCCGAUAGAGGGGGAUACCAGUUGGAACCGACUGUUACUACCGCAUAAUGUCUACGGACCAAAGUGUGGGACCUUCGGGCCACAUGCUAUCGGAUGCGCCUACGUGGGAUUAGCUAGUUGGUGGGGUAAUGGCUCACCAAGGCGACGAUCCCUAGCUGGUUUGAGAGGAUGAUCAGCCACACUGGAACUGAGGCACGGUCCAGACUCCUACGGGGGGCAGCAGCGGGGAAUAUUGGACAAUGGGCGCAAGCCUGAUCCAGCCAUGCCGCGUGUGUGAAGAAGGCCUUCGGGUUGUAAAGCACUUUCAGCGAGGAGGAAGGGAUGUAUGUUAAUAGCAUGCAUUUUUGACGUUACUCGCAGAAGAAGCACCGGCUAACUCUGUGCCAGCCGCCGCAGUAAUAC
rnacentral:rRNA from 1 species